rnacentral:rRNA from 1 species
AAAUUGAAGAGUUUGAUCAUGGCUCAGAUUGAACGCUGGCGGCAGGCCUAACACAUGCAAGUCGAACGGUAGCACAGAGGAGCUUGCUCCUUGGGUGACGAGUGGCGGACGGGUGAGUAAUGUCUGGGAAACUGCCCGAUGGAGGGGGAUAACUACUGGAAACGGUAGCUAAUACCGCAUAACGUCGCAAGACCAAAGAGGGGGACCUUCGGGCCUCUUGCCAUCGGAUGUGCCCAGAUGGGAUUAGCUAGUAGGUGGGGUAACGGCUCACCUAGGCGACGAUCCCUAGCUGGUCUGAGAGGAUGACCAGCCACACUGGAACUGAGACACGGUCCAGACUCCUACGGGAGGCAGCAGUGGGGAAUAUUGCACAAUGGGCGCAAGCCUGAUGCAGCCAUGCCGCGUGUAUGAAGAAGGCCUUCGGGUUGUAAAGUACUUUCAGCGAGGAGGAAGGUGUUGUGGUUAAUAACCACAGCAAUUGACGUUACUCGCAGAAGAAGCACCGGCUAACUCCGUGCCAGCAGCCGCGGUAAUACGGAGGGUGCAAGCGUUAAUCGGAAUUACUGGGCGUAAAGCGCACGCAGGCGGUCUGUCAAGUC